rnacentral:rRNA from 1 species
AUUGAACGCUGGCGGCAUGCCUUACACAUGCAAGUCGAACGGCAGCGCGGACUUCGGUCUGGUGGUGAGUGGCGAACGGGUGAGUAAAGUAUCGGAACGUACCUUUCAGUGGGGGAUAACGUAGCGAAAGUUACGCUAAUACCGCAUAUUCUGUGAGCAGGAAAGCAGGGGGUCGCAGGACCUUGCGCUGAUUGAGCGGCCGAUAUCAGAUUAGCUAGUUGGUGAGGUAAAGGCUCACCAAGGCGACGAUCUGUAGCGGGUCUGAGAGGAUGAUCCGCCACACUGGAACUGAGACACGGUCCAGACUCCUACGGGAGGCAGCAGUGGGGAAUUUUGGACAAUGGGGGCAACCCUGAUGCAGCCAUGCCGCGUGAGUGAAGAAGGCCUUCGGGUUGUAAAGCUCUUUCGGCCGGGAAGAAAGCGUAACAGCUAAUACCUGGUGCGGAUGACGGUACCGGCAUAAGAAGCACCGGCUAACUACGUGCCAGCCGCCGCGGUAACAC